CAGCAGCCACGGUAAUACGUAGGUGGCAAGCGUUGUCCGGAAUUAUUGGGCGUAAAGGGCUCGCAGGCGGUUUCUUAAGUCUGAUGUGAAAGCCCCCGGCUCAACCGGGGAGGGUCAUUGGAAACUGGGAAACUUGAGUGCAGAAGAGGAGAGUGGAAUUCCACGUGUAGCGGUGAAAUGCGUAGAGAUGUGGAGGAACACCAGUGGCGAAGGCGACUCUCUGGUCUGUAACUGACGCUGAGGAGCGAAAGUGUGGGGAGCGAACAGGAUUAGAUACCCGUGUAGUCCCUGUCUCUUAUAC
rnacentral:rRNA from 1 species